UGGGGAAUAUUGGACAAUGGGGGCAACCCUGAUCCAGCAAUGCCGCGUGUGUGAAGAAGGCCUGCGGGUUGUAAAGCACUUUCAGUGGGGACGAAAACUUGUGGGCUAAUAUCCUACGAGCUUGACUUAACCUACAGAAGAAGCACCGGCUAACUCUGUGCCAGCAGCCGCGGUAAUACAGAGGGUGCGAGCGUUUAUCGGAAUUACUGGGCGUAAAGGGCGCGUAGGUGGUUUGAUAAGUCAGAUGUGAAAUCCCUGGGCUUAACCUGGGAAUUGCAUUUGAUACUGCCAAACUAGAGUGUGAUAGAGGUAAGCGGAAUUCCCGGUGUAGCGGUGAAAUGCGUAGAUAUCGGGAGGAACAUCAGUGGCGAAGGCGGCUUACUGGAUCAACACUGACACUGAGGCGCGAAAGCGUGGGUAGCAAACAGGAUUAGAUACCCUGGUAGUCCACGCCCUAAACGAUGUCGACUAGCCGUUGGGUUCAUAAAAGAACUUAGUGGCGCAGCUAACGCGAUAAGUCGACCGCCUGGGGAGUACGGCCGCAAGGCUA
rnacentral:rRNA from 1 species